AAGUUUUGCAAGCGCCUGGGCUGCGCGUGGCCGCCGGCAUCCUACCCUGGGUGUCCUGACUCCGAGGGGCCGCCGAGAGGGGCGGAGGGUUCACCCUUUCGGUCUCUCGUCGCCUCCCGGGUCUGGCCGCGGGGGUCUUCUAACAGCCUGGACUCUGUUCUCUGCCUCCUUUUGUCCCUCUCAUUUCUGCCUUUGCUUCCACACCCAGCGAGAUGCAGCGCCCAGUCCAAAACUUGAGUUCUUUACUCAAACUACAAAGUGAGUUUACUACCGAGAGAGAAAAACUUAAAGGGCCAAAUCUUAUGAGAAAAUUGUAGUAUAUUUUUAGUAGCGAGUGUGGAAUACCAGUGCUUCUCAAACUUUAAUAUGCAUCCGGCACACUUGACGAUCUUGUGAAAAUACUGACUCUUUGAUUCAGUAGAUCUGGCGUGGAGCCUCAGUUUCUGCAUUUUUACCAUCGUGGCUGAUUCCAAGGCUGAUGAUCCUGGAGCCACAGGCUGGAGUGCAAUGGCGUGCGAUCUCAGCUCACUGCAACCUCUGCCUCCUGGGUUCAAGUGAUUCUUCUCCCCCAGCCUCCUGAGUAACUGGGAUUACAGGUGUGAUAACAAAGGCUCACAAAAAUCAAGUUUUAAGCCCCAAGUCCCGCAGUGAAUGAGCAGCAGAGCUGCAGCUCGUCUCAGUCCUGUGAAUCGCACCAUGGCCUGGAAGGAAAAGUUUAGGGCAAUAUAACCCUCUACAAACAACCUUCCGAAGCAGGACGAGUGUUUUCACAAAGCUUCAUGGAAUGUCGAAGUGCAGGAACAAAAUAUUUUAGCUGGAAAAAUAACACGUAGCCAGAAAUCAACCCCAAUCCUACCAAAAAUAAUGAUGCCAGGAAACAGAGCUACAUACACAAAAGGGAAUGUGUACCAGGAUACACAUAAUAAAGUCACCUUGGCAAAGCUGGUGUCCUGGCCAAGCCAGAGGAGUGAUUCAAUUUAAGAGAGAAUUGGAAGGAGGACAUGUGCCCUAGCUAGUCCAUCGGAAGAAGUGUGCCAACCCACUGCCUUAUCACCAUAAGCCUGAUCAUAGCAAAACUACAGAGUAGUUAAAAUGAAAAUUUCCAAGGUAGAAGAAGAUCAGGCAGUGGUAAUACUGGAAGCUGGCUGCAUAAGCCAGUGGCUCAGAUCUCACAGUGCAGGGCCAAAGAAGACAAAGUUGAAGUCAAUACUGAUACGGGCCAGUUGGCUUUGCACUGAGGAGGCAAAAAGUUCUAUGGUCACUGACUAGAACCUUCAUCCCACUCAGUCAUCCUGCCAAUGCUGGUGUUUGGGGUCAAAAAGGGAUUGGGAAAGAGUGUGGAAGACCUAUUUCCAGUGUUGACAAGCAGGGCUUACAUUCAGACAGAGAACGCCAAUACAGACAGUCAACUGUUGAAUAAUAAAACACCUCUGGACCAGUUGGGGGCUGAUCCCCCUGGGUGCCUCCCAUAUCACCCCAGCUACCCCUGGAGCUCCCUGAUGCAGUGACCAUUUGGGAUUAAAGCUUCAUGCAACUAGUUGAUGCCCUCUCUUUUGAAUAUCAUUUCUGAUCACAACUACUAGAAAAUAGCAAAUAACUACCAUUCAUUCAUUUAUUCAUUUGCUCAAUUCUUUGGUGGGAGGAGCAUGCAUGCUACUUUUUUACACUGAUACAUAAUAUUUUACAUAUGUAUGGGGUACAUGUGAUAUUUUGUUACAUGCAUGGAAUGUAUAAUGAUGAAGUGAGGGUUAUUGGCAUAUGUAUCACCUUGAGUAUCUAUCAUCUCUAUGUGCUGGGAACAAUUCAAGUCCUCUCUUCUAGCUACCUUGAAAUAUAUCGUUAACUAGAGUCACCCUGAUGCAGGGCAGGCAAGCCCCAGAGUGGGGCUUAGCCCUCGAGGGUUCUUGGUUUUGCCCAGGAAAGAAUUCAAGGGCAAGCCAGGGGUAGGAGAAGAGCUUUAUUGAGGCAGCAGUGUUACAGCGCUGGUGGUGGUACUGCUCCGUGACUGCUCUUGCAGAACAGGGCUGCCCUGUAGGCAAAGAGUAGCAACUCAGAGCAGUUUUGCAGUCACAUUUAUACUCACCCACAUAAUAACAUGCAGAUUAAGGGGCAAUUUAUGCAGAAAUUUCUAGGGAAGGAGUAGUAGCUUUUGAGUCAUCAGGUCAUUACCACAGAAAGGGGCAAUAACUCCUGGGUGUUUCCAUGGUAAUGGUAAACUGACAUGGCACACUGGUGGGUGUGUCUGAUUGGAAAGCUGCUCCCACCCCGGCCCUGUUUUAGCUAAUUCCCAGUAUGGUCUGGUGUCCGAGCCCCGCCUCUGGCAUUGAGUCCCACCUCCUACUUCAACCCUACUCUGUUGUCCAUCAUUAGAACUGUGAUCCCAGCACUUUGGGAGGCCAAGGCAGCACCUAUUAUUUUUCUCAUUUUCAGAAGAAGAAUCUGUACCUUAUUAAAAGUUGCAGAGUUAAGAAAUGGCUGAAAAUUCGAACUGUUGUUCAAAUCCUUAGUCUAGGCUUUAAACCGUGUUAAAAUACCACCUAUACUGGGACUUCAGAAAGAGUGCAAACCAAAAAAAAGCAACUAUUUGGGGAUGGGGUGAGAGCGAGACAGAAACAAUAUUAGGAAAUUUUUUAUACACUCACACUCUCUCUGUAGAAAUAUGGAAAGACAGGAAAAUGUCUUGUAAUGACUUGAGGAGACAGAAUUAUGGACAGUUCCCUAUCCCAAAACUGUCAAAUGUACAUGCAUUUUUUUAAAAGCACACGUGUUAUUCAUUAUUCCAAGGAAAACCCAACACAUAUUGAGGCCACGGAUGCUUCGUGCCACAGCUCCAGGAAGGCUGAGGACCAAAUAUUUAGCAUAAUUCUUCAUUCUAUGAUUCUUCUUGGCUUGGAUUUUCAACAAGUUGAGAACACUGCUUUCUCUGAAGCAAAAUAAAACUGUUUUGGAUAAAGUUAAAGACAGAUGACAUUUAGAGUGAUAAGCAGAGCUGAUACAUCCAUAUUCAGCCAGUCUAUCUACAUUCAGAGGAAUGAGAACCAAGAAUUUGGAAUGGAUUUAUUAACAACUCAUCACACUAUGAGAGCGUGGGGUAAUAUUUUGUAUGUGAUGUACCAGCUGUCUACAGAGCUAAGCAAACCCAGAGAUCACAGACUUUAGUCUCCUGUCUAGGUUCCAAGUAAAUGGUCUUCAGGGAGACACCAAGAAUAAAGGCUGCAAAAAUGACAUUAGAGCUCUUUGGGCUCCUUCUGAUCAUUGCUGCGCCCUGUUCUCACUAUCAAUUUGAUUUCACCGGAUGAUUCCAUAAGUGAAUUUGGAGCUUGUGAGUCAUGACUGAGACUGACUUGGUUGCUUGCAUUUUCUACCACUGAGUCCUCCUGUCCAAGUUUUCUCAAGCUUGGUGUCUGUCCUACUUUAAAUAAGAUAGCAAUGAGACAGCUGACAUAUUUCCUGCAGAGACUGUGCCUCUAGUUGGUAAAUCACAAUCAGGAAGCUGACACCCAUACUUGUUCUCCUCUGGGAAGAAAAAAAAAAGAGAACUAUUAGGAUAUGUUUGAAAGAUCUAAAAUACCCAAAGAGGAAGAACUGUGUAGGGUUGUGGCAACCGAAAAGAUAAUAUGGUUUCCAUUAUGUAACCCUAUCGAAGCCAUUACACCAUAAGAUCAGUCCUGAGGGGAAGUUGUCUCUAAUAAAUUCCAGUCUAAACGGGCAAAAUAUAA
ensembl:lncRNA